UAACUACACAGUACCACAAAAAUAACGGAAAUCACAGUUCACAUGGUGCACGCCCACACGUCUGUCACCUAGCAUGCACGUCACCUCAAAAAUCAAAUACAUAACUCGUAUAUCCAGGAUUCAUACCCUUAGCUCCAAGAUUAGAAGAGUUACUUACCUCGAACAAGCCAAUACCAAUGUCGAGCAAGCCAAGCGAAGCUCCAAAAAUUCCAUCACGUGCGUAGCGACCUCCGAGCGGUUCAAAACUAGCCAAAAGUAACUCAAGUACAUCAAAUAAAGCCCAAGGAAAAAGUUCCAAAUGAUAAAGAUCAAGUCCUUAAUCAAAACCCAAAACCGGCCAAAAAUCACACCCGGCCCGUGCCUCGGAACACGACAAAACUCACAAAAUCUGACAACCCAUUCAAUUACGAGUCCAACCAUACUAGUUUCACUCAAAUCCGACCUCGAAUCGAUGCUCAAAACUCAAACAUUCACAUUAUAAAACUUUAGGCUAAAACCCCCAAUUUUCUCUUUAAAAUUCACAAUCCAAUUAUCCAAAACAAAUAUAGAUUCAUAAAAUAUAACCAAAACCGAGUAGAGAACACUUACCCCAAUUUUUAUGGUGAAAAUUGCUUCAAACAUCGCCUCAUUCCGAGCUCCAUAGCUCCCAAAAUGUAAAAAUGUCUGAAACCUUCGAAAUACAGUACUAUAUACACUGCCCAGACGUCCUCUUUCACGAACGCGGGAAAACCAUCGCGUUCGCGAUGAACAAAAUAUCAGUUACCCAAAAAUACUCUAUGCGUUCGCGGCACAAGUCUCGCGAACGCGAUACACACCGGGGACAGAACUAUGUGAACGUGAUGAAUAAAGGCCUCCAGCUCCAGCUCCCAGCUCAACCCUACGCGAACACGAUCCCUCAUAUGUGAACGCGAAGAAGACUUGCCCCAACUCUACUCGAACACGGACCAAUAUUCGCGAACGCAAUGAAGAAAUGCCACUGCCAUCAAAAUUCACUACGCAUUCACGAUACAUGCCACACGAACGCGAACGCGAUGAAGGACUGAGACACUAGAAACCAGCAGAACACAUUAGUGAAAACAUGAAGGAAAUUAAUCCGAAUCAAUCCGAAACACGCCCGAGCCCCUCGUGACCCCAUCCUAACAUACCAACAAGUCCUACAAUAUAACACGGACCUACUCGAGGCCUCAAAAUACACAUAACAAUAUCGAAACGAUGAAUCACACCUCAACUCGAAAUCAAUGAACUUCGAAACUUCAAAAUUUCCACAACCGAUGCCGAAACCUAUCAAAUCACGUUCGAUUGACCUCAAAUUUUGCACAAACAUCACAUUAGACAGUACGGACCUGCUCCAACUUUCGGAAUCGGAAUCCGACCCCGAUAUCAAAAAGUCCUCUCCCGGUCAAAUUUUUUAAAUUUUUAACUUUCGCCAUUUUGAGCCAAAUUCAGCCACGGACCUCCAAAUCAUAAUCAGGACGCGUUCCUAAGUCCAAAAUCACCCAACGGAGCUAACGGAACCAUCAAAAUUUCAAUCCGAGGUCAAAUACUAAAAAGUCAAACUUGAUCAACUGUUUCAAAUUUAAAACUCCCUGGUUGGGAAUCAUUCUUCCAAAUCAGUCCCGAAUAACCUGAAAAUAAAAAUCGAUGAUUCACACAAGUCAAAAUACAUCAUACGGAGCUACUCACGCCCGUAAACUAUCAAACGAAGUACAAAUGCUCAAAACGACCGGUCGGGUCGUUACAAGCUCCCUGUCAACCAAGAUACCUACCCCAUUCUUACCCCUCUCGCAUCCUGAGACCAACAAUUUAAACCCAUUAGCAGCUCGAGCCUUCGAACCCAUGCAUCUAGUCUCCUGGACACAAGCUAUGUUGAUCUUCCUCUUCUGGAGGAUUUUCGCUAACUCUAUAGACUUCCCCGUCAAAGUUUCUAUGUUCCAGGACCCCACUCUCAGCUUAGAGACUCCCUUGCCCCCUUUGCCUGCCCGCCCCCCACCCCACCCGGGGACAUGACCUUAUUCCACCAUCACUCACUCCAGCCACUAUAAUAUACGGAAAAUUAUGCUAGAACCGUCGCUAAAACAGACAAAGGAUAAAAAUAAAGGAGGCGGGUCUAACACUUAUGACUCUAACCAUUAGAAAUGCAUACAUAUAAGACAAACAGACAAGUAAGAAUUAAACCAGUGAUAACAAUAGAUAUCUAAAAGAAGGCUAACAUAACACCUACUAAAAAAUCAAAUUCCAGUCUAUAAAUCCCUAAACAUUUACUAGCAAGAAAAAUAUCUAGGCAGAUGCACUAAAUAAUUAUAGGCAAUCAAGAAUUAGGCUUAAAAUAACAUAAACUAAUUGUAUACCAAUAAGGGAAGACAGAGAUAUUAACUAGGAACAGGAGGUACCAAUUCCUGAUUAGUGUGAAACCUGGGUGAAUCAUCGUAAAUGUCAAGGUCGUGCUGUCGUAGUAACCUUAGUCAAUUUUCCACUGCCUCCAACCGAUUUUGACAUCCGUUGCACGAUCUGAUCCAGUAAUAAAUACCUGCAAAAAUAGAAUGGGGAACCAAAGGAGAAGAAGAACAGAGGUAUGCCAAGAAAAACCCAAAUAGCAAUUCACUAAAAAGAUUGCAUUUUUAAAUUCAGAAGGAAAAAUAGUGGAAAACAAAGUGAUUGAUUUC
rnacentral:lncRNA from 1 species